GCGUGAUGACGAGGCACUACGGUGCUGAAGCAACAAAUGCCCUGCUUCCAGGAAAAGCCUCUAAGCAUCAGGUAACAUCAAAUCGUACCCCAAACCGACACAGGUGGUCAGGUAGAGAAUACCAAGGCGCUUGAGAGAACUCGGGUGAAGGAACUAGGCAAAAUGGUGCCGUAACUUCGGGAGAAGGCACGCUGAUAUGUAGGUGAAGUCCCUCGCGGAUGGAGCUGAAAUCAGUCGAAGAUACCAGCUGGCUGCAACUGUUUAUUAAAAACACAGCACUGUGCAAACACGAAAGUGGACGUAUACGGUGUGACGCCUGCCCGGUGCCGGAAGGUUAAUUGAUGGGGUCAGCGCAAGCGAAGCUCUUGAUCGAAGCCCCGGUAAACGGCGGCCGUAACUAUAACGGUCCUAAGGUAGCGAAAUUCCUUGUCGGGUAAGUUCCGACCUGCACGAAUGGCGUAAUGAUGGCCAGGCUGUCUCCACCCGAGACUCAGUGAAAUUGAACUCGCUGUGAAGAUGCAGUGUACCCGCGGCAAGACGGAAAGACCCCGUGAACCUUUACUAUAGCUUGACACUGAACAUUGAGCCUUGAUGUGUAGGAUAGGUGGGAGGCUUAGAAGUGUGGACGCCAGUCUGCAUGGAGCCGACCUUGAAAUACCACCCUUUAAUGUUUGAUGUUCUAACGUUGACCCGUAAUCCGGGUUGCGGACAGUGUCUGGUGGGUAGUUUGACUGGGGCGGUCUCCUCCUAAAGAGUAACGGAGGAGCACGAAGGUUGGCUAAUCCUGGUCGGACAUCAGGAGGUUAGUGCAAUGGCAUAAGCCAGCUUGACUGCGAGCGUGACGGCGCGAGCAGGUGCGAAAGCAGGUCAUAGUGAUCCGGUGGUUCUGAAUGGAAGGGCCAUCGCUCAACGGAUAAAAGGUACUCCGGGGAUAACAGGCUGAUACCGCCCAAGAGUUCAUAUCGACGGCGGUGUUUGGCACCUCGAUGUCGGCUCAUCACAUCCUGGGGCUGAAGUAGGUCCCAAGGGUAUGGCUGUUCGCCAUUUAAAGUGGUACGCGAGCUGGGUUUAGAACGUCGUGAGACAGUUCGGUCCCUAUCUGCCGUGGGCGCUGGAGAACUGAGGGGGGCUGCUCCUAGUACGAGAGGACCGGAGUGGACGCAUCACUGGUGUUCGGGUUGUCAUGCCAAUGGCACUGCCCGGUAGCUAAAUGCGGAAGAGAUAAGUGCUGAAAGCAUCUAAGCACGAAACUUGCC
rnacentral:rRNA from 1 species